GGGCAAUUAGCUCAGUCGGCUAGAGCACGCGGCUUACAUCCGUGAGGUCGGGGGUUCGAAUCCCUCAUUGCCCACCA
rnacentral:tRNA from 1 species